GGCACCUGCUAACACCUGGAGCAGUUCUGUGGUAUUUUGUGGAUGCUGUGGAAGAUGGCAAGAACAUUUCUUUACUCCUACUGGUCCACUCCAGAACUUGUGUCCUACUGAGUUGAAACAGUGGAGCUGGGAUUGUUUCCUCUUGCUGAGAAAACCCUCUGUUAUUCUAUGACAGAAGAUGUAGUUCUCCACGUGGAAACUAGGAGGAGGAUUUUGCUGAGAUAUGGAAUGAUUCCCUCUCCAGUAAUAAGGCUCAGCCCGGUCACUCAUGUUCCAGGGAGCUUCUGAAAGCACAAGUCUCUCUAUGCCUCAGUUGCAGCACCCAAAAAAACUGGGAGUAGCUGCCAGCAAGAGCUGCUCACGGGGAAAGGCAGUGGCUGUUUACCUGCACUGCUCAGCCGGACCAGGGAGGACAGACCCACUUGUGUUCUCCGACAGAAGACAGUGACGUGACAUGAAUGGUAGCGCAAGGCUCUUACUGCUACAUUCAGUAAUCGAUUCUCCUGGAUGGACUGUGACUGCCCAAAGGUUGCAAAGAGAGAAAGAGUUGAAUCAUGCUGCCACUUGCCAAGAAGAAAAAAAAAGCAGCGUAAGAGCAUCAGUUUAAUGGACGUGCUUUGGAUUUACGCUGGCAUCCUGAAAGCAGAGUUGUCCCCUGUGGAUGUAGAAGUAUCGUGGUAACUCUCCCCAGAGUAUUACAUGAGGAAGGAUGGCAGCAACUCCUGGGAGAGUCUUCCCUGAAUCUACUGCUGUUCUGCAGGACCCAGCAGAAUCCCAGUUUUGAAAAACAGGGGGGCGCAGAAUUCAUCCACUGGCCUUUGCCAUGUUGUGAACUUGCACAGUCUGUUUCUUCUGGAAGAACUCCAAGUGACU